UGGGGAAUCUUGCACAAUGGGGGCAACCCUGAUGCAGCGACGCCGCGUGAGCGAUGAAGCCCUUCGGGGUGUAAAGCUCUUUCGGCAGGGAAGAUAAUGACGGUACCUGCAGAAUCAGCUGCGGCUAACUACGUGCCAGCAGCCGCGGUAAUACGUAGGCAGCGAGCGUUGUUCGGAGUUACUGGGCGUAAAGGGUGUGUAGGCGGUGCUCUAAGUGUGGUGUGAAAUCUCCCGGCUCAACUGGGAGGGUGCGCUACGAACUGGAGUGCUCGAGUGCGGGAUGGGAGAGUGGAAUUCCUGGUGUAGCGGUGAAAUGCGUAGAUAUCAGGAGGAACACCGGUGGUGUAGACGGCUCUCUGGACCGCAACUGACGCUGAGACACGAAAGCGUGGGGAGCAAACAGGAUUAGAUACCCCCGUAGUCCCUGAGCGGGCUGGCAAGGCGCAU
rnacentral:rRNA from 1 species